rnacentral:rRNA from 1 species
UGGGGAAUAUUGCGCAAUGGGGGCAACCCUGACGCAGCCAUGCCGCGUGAGUGAUGAAGGCCCUAGGGUUGUAAAACUCUUUCAGUGGUGAAGAUAAUGACGGUAGCCACAGAAGAAGCCCCGGCCAACUCCGUGCCAGCAGCCGCGGUAAUACGGAGGGGGCUAGCGUUGUUCGGAAUUACUGGGCGUAAAGAGCGCGUAGGCGGAUCGGUCAGUUGGGGGUGAAAUCCCGGGGCUCAACCUCGGAACUGCCUUCAAUACUACCGGUCUUGAGUUCGAGAGAGGUAAGCGGAAUUCCUAGUGUAGAGGUGAAAUUCGUAGAUAUUAGGAAGAACACCGGUGGCGAAGGCGGCUUACUGGCUCGAUACUGACGCUGAGGCGCGAAAGCGUGGGGAGCAAACAGGAUUAGAUACCCCCGUAGUCC